CCAAUAGCGUAUAUUAAGGUUGCUGCGGUUAAAAAGCUCGUAGUUGAAUUUUGGGAUUGGCACAUCGGUCGUGUCUUAAGGGGCAUGAACUAGCGUAGCCAAUUCCUCACCUUCUGGUGAACUGGGAUGCCUCUUUAACUGGGUGUUUCAAUGAACUAGGACUUUUACUUUGAAAAAAUUAGAGUGUUUAAAGCAGGCAUUAUUUGCUUGAAUACAUUAGCAUGGAAUAAUAAAAUAGGACGAUGAUUCUAUUUUGUUGGUUUCUAGGAUCACCGUAAUGAUUAAUAGGAAUAGUUGGGGGCAUUAGUAUUCAAUUGUCAGAGGUGAAAUUCUUGGAUUAAUUGAAGACUAACUACUGCGAAAGCAUUUGCCAAGGAUGUUUUCAUUAAUCAAGAACGAAAGUUAGGGGAUCGAAGACGAUUAGGUACGUCGUAGUCUUAACCAUAAACUAUGCCGACUAGGAAUCAGACGAUGUUAAUUUUUUAAUGACUCGUUUGGCGCCUUACG
rnacentral:rRNA from 1 species